AUUGAACUCUUGCUUGUUCUUGAUUAGGUUCUUGAGAGACUCAAAACAUCAAAAUAACUUUUUCAAUCUGCUUUAAAAGAAUGUUUUUUAUAUGAGCUUACUCGUUUAAUAAGCUUACAAGUAAUUCCAUGUGAUAAUUGAAAAUUAAUAAAUUAAACUUUCUUUCAAUCUUGGUUUCUGCUAUGUGAUCCCUCACUUUCUGCGCUAGUAAUUGAUUUGCAAGAGAAAAUUCUGGCAAGACAAGGGUGAAGCAGUUGAUUUGCUAGUAAUUGCCAUCUCUCUACGAUGGGUGGCUCUUAGAUAUAAUGCUUGUUUUGCUCCAACAAUUGCUUGCAGAAAGCACGUCCAUGCUUG
rnacentral:misc_RNA from 1 species